UGGGGAAUAUUGCACAAUGGGCGCAAGCCUGAUGCAGCCAUGCCGCGUGUGUGAAGAAGGCCUUCGGGUUGUAAAGUACUUUCAGCGGGGAGGAAGGGAGUAAAGUUAAUACCUUUGCUCAUUGACGUUACCCGCAGAAGAAGCACCGGCUAACUCCGUGCCAGCAGCCGCGGUAAUACGGAGGGUGCAAGCGUUAAUCGGAAUUACUGGGCGUAAAGCGCACGCAGGCGGUUUGUUAAGUCAGAUGUGAAAUCCCCGGGCUCAACCUGGGAACUGCUUCUGAUACUGGCAAGCUUGAGUCUCGUAGAGGGGGGUAGAAUUCCAGGUGUAGCGGUGAAAUGCGUGGAGAUCUGGAGGAAUACCGGUGGCGAAGGCGGCCCCCUGGACGAAGACUGACGCUCAGGUGCGAAAGCGUGGGGAGCAAACAGG
rnacentral:rRNA from 1 species